AAACCUCCCGCCCACCUUUUCUUUAGACCCGCGUCUCACCCCGGGCCGGAAGGGCUCCUGCGCAGGCGUUUGUAGCCACUUUUAAGUUUUAUCAGCUAGUUCAUGCUUGCGUUGAAAGAGUGGUCGUUUGCGCUGGGUCAUCACUGUGUAGUAUUGGGGAUACUUAGGUGAGAAAAAAACUUAACGCUAGAGACGUUCACGCACUAGUGGAGAAGCCAGGAUUGUUGCCCUAGAGUUACAGUAGAUAAAAGUACCUCAGAGAACUGCGGGGGCUCCCAACCUGGACGCUUGCACCGGAGUAUUAAAUCCAGCUAGAGAAUGGCAUGUGCAAAGAUACAGAGCUUUUAGAAGUUGCCUGCAUUCCUUGGCCCCUUCCUCACAUCAUUCCAACCAACUUCCAUCCUUACAAUCGAUUACUUUCCUGUAAUAGCUACAGUCAAAUGGGCAGCUGAAGAUGAUGAUGAUGAUGAUCUUGACACCGAGAAGCAGAAGACCAAUGAAGAUGACCAGACAGCAAAAAAGGAUAAGUUAAAAGAAGGUAAAAGAAGGCCACUCGUACUUGCUGUCUCAGUAUCUAAAGGUGGUCACCUUCCAGUAGAGAGGCCCACCCACUGCAGACCGUGCCACCGAAGGUGACAUGCACUUUCUGCCACCCAUCCAAAACCGUAACGUGAAUCUGCAACAGGAGAGGAAAGAAGAACCAAAACUUCCAAGGCCUUGCAUUUUUUCUUAAAAGCAUUUUUUUUUUUUUUUGGAGAUGGAGUCUCACUCUAUUGCCUGGAGUGCAGUGGCGUAAUUUCGGCUCACUGAAGCCUCUGCUUCCCGGGUUUAAGAAAUUCUCUGCCUCAGCCUCCCAAGUAGCUGGGAUUACAGGCACAUGCCACCACACCUGUCUAAUUUUUGUAUUUUUAGGAGAGACAGGGUUUCACCGUGUUGGCCAGGCUGGUCUUGAACUCCUGACCUCGUGAUCCACCUGCCUUGGCCUCCCAAAGUGCUGGGAUUACAGGCCUGAGCCACUGCACCUAGCCAAAAGCAUUUUUUAAAGAAAAAUUGGUCUAUAUUUUUUGUUUCUACUUUAUAUCUUUGUACAUAUUUUUAGAGUGCAGGCAUUUUUAAUAAUCUUGGAUGACCAAAGCAGCUUUCAGAAUGUUCUUUGCCCAACUUCUGACUUUACUUGUAGUGUGACCAUGUUCAUUAGAAUCUCAAAGGAGGAAGAAAAGAAAAAACAAACUUGUAAAAAAUGAAAAAUAGAUCUGGCGAGGUGAUUCACGGCUGUAAGCCCAGCACUUUGAGAGGCUAAGGCGGGUGGAUCACCUGAGGUCAGGAGUUCGAGACCAGCCUGGCCAACAUGGUGAAAUCCUAUCUCUACUAAAUAUACAAAAAUUAGCCAGGUGUGGUGGUGGGUGCCUGUAGUCCCAGCUACUCAGGAGGCUGAGGCAGGAGAAUCUGGAACCCCGGAGGCAGAGGUUGCAGUGAGCCGAGAUCGCACCAUUGCACUCCAGCCUGGGCGACAGAGUGAGACUAUCUGAAAAAAAGCAAAAAUAGGCCAGGCAUGGUGGCUCAUGCCUUGAUCCCAGCACUUUGGUAAGCCUAGGCAGGUGGAUCACUUGAGGUCAGGGGUUCGAGACCAGCUUAGCCAACAUGGUGAAAACCUGUCUCUACUGAAAAUACAAAAAUUAGCCAGGCGUGGUGGUGGGUACCUGUAAUCCCAGCUACGCGGGAGGCUGAGGCAUGAGAAUUGCUUGAACUCAGGAGGCGGAGGUUGCAGUGAGCAGCAGUCAUGCCAUUGCACUCCAGCCUGGUGACAGAGUAAGACUCUGUCUCAAAAAUAAAUAAAUGCAAAAACAACAAAUCUUAUUUUUUCAGCCUGUUCGAUGUAUGUGUGAAACAAUGUUGUCCAACAAUAAACGGGAAUCUUAUUUUUCUGAGGUUUUUUCCCCUA
rnacentral:lncRNA from 10 species